CCUACGGGGGGCAGCAGUGGGGAAUAUUGGGCAAUGGACGCAAGUCUGACCCAGCAACGCCGCGUGAAGGAAGAAGGCUUUCGGGUUGUAAACUUCUUUUAAGGGGGAAGAGCAGAAGACGGUACCCCUUGAAUAAGCCACGGCUAACUACGUGCCAGCAGCCGCGGUAAUACGUAGGUGGCAAGCGUUGUCCGGAUUUACUGGGUGUAAAGGGCGUGCAGCCGGAGAGACAAGUCAGAUGUGAAAUCCACGGGCUCAACCCGUGAACUGCAUUUGAAACUGUUUCCCUUGAGUGUCGGAGAGGU
rnacentral:rRNA from 1 species